UAGGGAAUCUUCCGCAAUGGCCGCAAGUCUGACGGAGCAACGCCGCGUGAGUGAAGAAGGAUUUCGGUUCGUAAAACUCUGUUGUUAGAGAAGAACAGCGCAUAGAGUAACUGUUAUGCGUGUGACGGUAUCUAACCAGAAAGCCACGGCUAACUACGUGCCAGCAGCCGCGGUAAUACGUAGGUGGCAAGCGUUGUCCGGAUUUAUUGGGCGUAAAGCGAGCGCAGGCGGUCAAUUAAGUCUGAUGUGAAAGCCCCCGGCUCAACCGGGGAGGGUCAUUGGAAACUGGUUGACUUGAGUGCAGAAGAGGAGAGUGGAAUUCCAUGUGUAGCGGUGAAAUGCGUAGAUAUAUGGAGGAACACCAGUGGCGAAGGCGACUCUCUGGUCUGUAACUGACGCUGAGGCUCGAAAGCGUGGGUAGCAAACAGG
rnacentral:rRNA from 1 species